rnacentral:rRNA from 1 species
UUAGUGGCGGACGGGUGAGUAACGCGUGGAAAACCUGCCGUAUACUGGGGGAUAACACUUAGAAAUAGGUGCUAAUACCGCAUAAGCGCACAGCUUCGCAUGAAGCGGUGUGAAAAACUCUGGUGGUAUACGAUGGUUCCGCGUCUGAUUAGCUAGUUGGUGGGGUAACGGCCUACCAAGGCAACGAUCAGUAGCCGGCCUGAGAGGGUGAACGGCCACAUUGGGGCUGAGACACGGCCCAAACUCCUACGGAAGGCAGCAG